UACGUAGGGUGCAAGCGUUAAUCGGAAUUACUGGGCGUAAAGCGUGCGCAGGCGGUUUUGUAAGUUUGUCGUGAAAUCCCCGGGCUCAACCUGGGAAUGGCGAUGAAGACUGCAAGGCUAGAAUCUGGCAGAGGGGGGUAGAAUUCCACGUGUAGCAGUGAAAUGCGUAGAUAUUGGGAGGAACACCAGUGGCGAAGGCGGCGAUCUGGACGAUGACUGACGCUGGAGAACGCGAAAGCGUUGGGGAGCAAACAGG
rnacentral:rRNA from 1 species